CAGUCGCCACGGUAAUACAGAGGGUGCAAGCGUUAAUCGGAAUUACUGGGCGUAAAGCGCGCGUAGGUGGUUUGUUAAGUUGGAUGUGAAAUCCCCGGGCUCAACCUGGGAACUGCAUCCAAAACUGGCAAGCUAGAGUAUGGUAGAGGGUGGUGGAAUUUCCUGUGUAGCGGUGAAAUGAGUAGAUAUAGGAAGGAACACCAGUGGCGAAAGCGACCACCUGGACUGAUACUGACACUGAGGUGCGAAAGCGUGGGGAGCAAACAGGAUUAGAUACCCCUGUAGUCCCUGUCUCUUAUAC
rnacentral:rRNA from 1 species